CGGGGGAGUAGCAAUACUCCCGCCGGCGACCGGCGCACGGGUGAGUAACACGUAUGAAACCUGCCCGUAGCAGGGGGAUAAGCGGAAGAAAUUCCGUCUAAUACCGCGUAACAACCCUUGGAGGCAUCUCCUCGGGUUUAAAGGAAGCGAUUCCGGCUACGGAUGGUCAUGCGUCGCAUUAGCUAGUUGGCGGGGUAACGGCCCACCAAGGCGACGAUGCGUAGGGGUUCUGAGAGGAAGGUCCCCCACACUGGUACUGAGACACGGACCAGACUCCUACGGGAGGCAGCAGUGAGGAAUAUUGGUCAAUGGCCGCAGGGCUGAACCAGCCAAGUCGCGUGAGGGAUGACGGUCCUAUGGAUUGUAAACCUCUUUUGUCAGGGAGCAAAGGGCGUCACGUGUGGCGUUUUGCGAGUACCUGAAGAAAAAGCAUCGGCUAACUCCGUGCCAGCAGCCGCGGUAAUACGGAGGAUGCGAGCGUUAUCCGGAUUUAUUGGGUUUAAAGGGUGCGCAGGCGGAAUGUCAAGUCAGCGGUAAAAUUUCGGGGCUCAACCCCGUCGUGCCGUUGAAACUGGCGUUCUUGAGUGAGCGAGAAGUAUGCGGAAUGCGUGGUGUAGCGGUGAAAUGCAUAGAUAUCACGCAGAACUCCGAUUGCGAAGGCAGCAUACCGGCGCUCAACUGACGCUCAUGCACGAAAGCGUGGGUAUCGAACAGGAUUAGAUACCCUGGUAUUCCACGCAGUAAACGAUGAAUACAAACUGUCCGGGCAGAAUGAUGUCUGGGUGGUACAGCGAAAGCGUU
rnacentral:rRNA from 1 species